AUGUCCCAGCGUCCCAUUCCCCUGGGCCUCCAAAUCUUCACGUUUGGUCCCCGGGACCUCAGGUCUGGGCCUCCCCUUACCCUAGGCCUCCAAACCCUCAGGUUUGUCCCCAGGCCCACAGAUCCGGGCCUCCCCUACCCCUGGGCCUCCAUACCCUCAGGUUUGGCCCCCGAGCCCUCAGGUCCCCGGCCUCCCCUUCCCCAGGGCCUCCAAACCUCAGAGCGGCCCCGGGGCCCACAUGUCCCAGCCUCCCAUUCCCCUGGGCCUCCAAAUCUUCACGUUUGGUCCCCGGGACCUCAGGUCUGGGCCUCCCCUUACCCUAGGCCUCCAAACCCUCAGGUUUGGUCCCCAGGCCCACAGAUCCGGGCCUCCCCUUCCCCUGGGCCUCCAUACCCUCAGGUUUGGCCCCCGGGCCCUCAGGUCCCCGCCUCCCCUUCCCCUGGGCCUCCAAACCCUCAGAGCCAGCUCCCGGGGCCCACAGGUCCCAGCCUCCCCUUCCCCUGGGCCUCCAUACCCUCAGGUUUGGCCCCCGGGCCCUCAGGUCCCGGCCUCCCCUUCCCCUGGGCCUCCAAACCCCCAGGUUUGGCCCCCGGCCCCUCAGAUCUGGGCCUCCUCUUCCCCUGGGCCUCCAAACCCACAGGUUUGGCCCCCGGGCCCUCAGAUCUGGGCCUCCAAACCCACAGGUUUGGCCCCCGGGCCCUCAGAUCCGGGCCUCCCCUUCCCCUUGGGCCUCCAAACCCACAGGUUUGGCCCCCGGGCCCUCAGAUCUGGGCCUCCAAACCCACAGGUUUGGCCCCCGGCCCCUCAUUUCUGGGCCUCCCCUUCCCCUGGGCCUCCAAACCCUCAGAGCCGGCCACCAGGGCCCACAUGUCCCAGCCUCCCAUUCCCCUGGGCCUCCAAAUCUUCACGUUUGGUCCCCGGGACCUCAGGUCUGGGCCUCCCCUUACUCUAGGCCUCCAAACCCUCAGGUUUGGUCCCCAGGCCUCCCCUUCCCCUGGGCCUCCAAACCCACAGGUUUGGCCCCCGGGCCCUCAGAUCCGGGCCUCCCCUUCCCCUUGGGCCUCCAAACCCACAGGUUUGGCCCCCGGGCCCUCAGAUCUGGGCCUCCAAACCCACAGGUUUGGCCCCCGGCCCCUCAUUUCUGGGCCUCCCCUUCCCCUGGGCCUCCAAACCCUCAGAGCCGGCCACCAGGGCCCACAUGUCCCAGCCUCCCAUUCCCCUGGGCCUCCAAAUCUUCACGUUUGGUCCCCGGGACCUCAGGUCUGCGCCUCCCCUUACCCUAAUCCUCCAAACCCUCAGGUUUGGUCCCCAGGCCCACAGAUCCGGGCCUCCCCUUCCCCUGGGCCUCCAUACCCUCAGGUUGGCCCCCGGGCCCUCAGGUCCCGGCCUCCCCUUCCCCUGGGCCUCCAAACCCACAGGCUUAGCCCCCGGGGCCCUCAGAUCCCGGCCUCCCCUUCCCCUGGGCCUCCAAACCCUCAGAGCCGGCUCCCGGGGCCCACAGGUCCCGGCCUCCCCUUCCCCUGGGCCUCCAAACCCUCAGAGCCGGCUCCCGGGGCCCACAGGUCCCGGCCUCCCCUUUCCCUGGGCCUCCACACCCUCAGAGCCGGCCCCUGGGGCCCACAGGUCCCAGCCUCCCAUUCCCCUGGGCCUCCAAAUCUUCACGUUUGGUCCCCGGGACCUCAGGUCUGGGCCUCCCCUUACCCUAGGCCUCCAAACCCUCAGGUUUGGUCCCCAGGCCCACAGAUCCGGGCCUCCCCUACCCCUGGGCCUCCAUACCCUCAGGUUUGGCCCCCGGGCCCUCAGGUCCCGGCCUCCCCUUCCCCAGGGCCUCCAAACCCUCAGAGCCGGCCCCCGGGGCCCACAUGUCCCAGCCUCCCAUUCCCCUGGGCCUCCAAAUCUUCACGUUUGGUCCCCGGGACCUCAGGUCUGCGCCUCCCCUUACCCUAGGCCUCCAAACCCUCAGGUUUGGUCCCCAGGCCCACAGAUCCGGGCCUCCCCUUCCCCUGGGCCUCCAUACCCUCAGGUUUGGCCCCCGGGCCCUCAGGUCCCGGCCUCCCCUUCUCCUGGGCCUCCAAACCCACAGGCUUAGCCCCGGGGGCCCUCAGAUCCGGGCCUCCCCUUCCCCUGGGCCUCCAAACCCUCAGAGCCGGCUCCCGGGGCCCACAGGUCCCGGCCUCCCCUUCCCCUGGGCCUCCAAACCCUCAGAGCCGGCUCCCGGGGCCCACAGGUCCCGACCUCCCCUUCCCCUGGGCCUCCAAACCCUCAGGUUUCGCCCCCGGGCCCUGAGAUCUGGGCCUCCCCUUCCCCUGGGCCUCCAAACCCACAGGUUUCGCCCCCGGGCCCUCAGAUCCUGGCCUCCCUUUCCCCUGGGCCUCUAAACCCUCAGAGCCGGCUCCCGGGGCCCACAGGACCCAGCCUCCCCUUCCUCUGGGCCUCCAAACCCUCAGAGCCGGCUCCCGGGGCCCACAGGUCCCGGCCUCCCCUUCUCCUGGGCCUCCAAACCCUCAGAGCCAGGUCCCGGGGCCGACAGGUCCCGACCUCCCCUUCUCCUGGGCCUCCAAACCCUCAGAGCCAGGUCCCGGGGCCCACAGGUCCCGGCCUCCCCUUCUCUGGGCCUCCAAACCCACAUGUUUGGCGCCCGGGCCCUCAGAUCUGGGCCUCCCCUUCCCCUGGGCCUCCAAACCCACAGGUUUGGCCCCCGGGCCCUCAGAUCUGGGCCUCCAAACCCACAGGUUUGGCCCCCGGCCUCUCAGAUCUGGGCCUCCCCUUCCCCUGGGCCUCCAAACCCUCAGAGCCGGCUCCCGGGGCCCACAGGUCCGGGCCUCCCCAUCCCCUGGGCCUUCAAAUCCUCAGAGCCUGCUCCCGACGCCCACACGUCCUGGCCUCCCCUUCCCCUGGCCCUUCAAACCCACAGGCUUGGCCCCCGGGCCCUCAGAUCUGGGCCUCCCCUUCCCCUGGGCCUCCUAACCCACAGGUAUUGGCCCCCG
rnacentral:lncRNA from 1 species